UUAGCUUAGUUGGUAGAGCGCUCCACUGAAAAUGGAGAGGUCCCAGGUUCGAUACCCGGA
rnacentral:tRNA from 1 species